GCCAGGUACGGUGGUGCAUGCCUGUAAUCCCAGUGGCUUGGGAGGCUGAGACAGGAGGAUCCAGAGUUCAAAGCCAGCCUCAGCAAAAGUGAGGUGCUAAGCAACUCAGAGAGACCCUGUCUCUU
rnacentral:sRNA from 1 species